CAUAUAUAAAUUAGAUUAAAGAAAAAGUUGAGUGGUAUGCUCGAAGAAGCUUCCCGCAGGGCGGUGCCGCGUAGGCGAAUGAAAGCAGCCUGCUCUUCCUGGAUUCUCAAGUCAUCAAGUGUAAACGCAAUAAUUUGAAGGCGAUGAAGAUGGGAGACGGAAGUAUAAAUAAAGAUGGAAGAAAUUAGCCGCCCUCUUGUUCUAAUUAAUACAUCUGAUUGAGAUUUCGGGUAUGCGUUUCUUGCAUACAGU